GAUGAACGCUGGCGGCGUGCCUAAUACAUGCAAGUCGAGCGAACAGACGAGGAGCUUGCUCCUCUGACGUUAGCGGCGGACGGGUGAGUAACACGUGGAUAACCUACCUAUACGACUGGGAUAACUUCGGGAAACCGGAGCUAAUACCGGAUAAUAUAUUGAACCGCAUGGUUCAAUAGUGAAAGACGGUUUUGCUGUCACUUAUAGAUGGAUCCGCGCCGCAUUAGCUAGUUGGUAAGGUAACGGCUUACCAAGGCAACGAUGCGUAGCCCACCUGAGAGGGUGAUCGGCCACACUGGAACUGAGACACGGUCCAGACUCCUACGGGAGGCAGCAGUAGGGAAUCUUCCGCAAUGGGCGAAAGCCUGACGGAGCCACGCCGCGUGAGUGAUGAAGGUCUUCGGAUCGUAAAACUCUGUUAUUAGGGAAGAACAAAUGUGUAAGUAACUAUGCACGUCUUGACGGUACCUAAUCAGAAAGCCACGGCUAACUACGUG
rnacentral:rRNA from 1 species